rnacentral:misc_RNA from 1 species
AUGUGGCUUUAGUUUUUCUCAUUUCAAUUCAUUCUUCUGUUCAAACUUUGAAUUUCCCUCAGCAUUAGAUGUUUAGUCAAGAUAGCAUUUUUUUAGACGCUCUUGAUUCAAAAGAUUAGAUAUUUGCAAUUGAUUUGGUGUUAACUCUCUUUAUCCUUUUCAUGAUCAGGUGCCUUCAUAAGAUCAAACUCCAUUAGUGCUUGAAAAUAAAAUCUAUGGGUUUAUCGCUUUCGUUACUCUAUUCAGCCUGGGAAGAAAUCGUACGACACAGCAUCUUUCGUUUAAUCUACAACUUUGGUUUCAGUUCUAAGCAUGGUGGUAUCCCCCUGAGAGCAGAUAGCUUCAAGAAAUCAGAUACAGAAACCAUGACCAACUCAUUCAAGUCCAAUACAAGAAGCAGCAAAAAUUCUAUAAACCUGAAGAAUUGCAGACCCGAUAAUGUAGUGCUUGACAGGAAUUUAUCAUUCAAAAGUCUAGUUCAAGACAAAGGCAACUCGGUUUCAGAUAUAGAUAGAUCGCUGAAUAAAACAAUGCCAGCGCUUUCCCUUCCAGAACCGGCCAUUUUGUUUUCGCCGAGGCCGGUUAGUGAGCUUGAUGCUGCUGCAGUUAAACUUCAAAAGGUUUACAAGAGUUACAGAACUAGAAGAAACCUUGCAGAUUGUGCAGUUGUUGUUGAGGAGCUCUGGUGGAAGGCUUUAGACUUUGCAGCUCUCAAGAGAAGUUCUGUAUCAUUCUUUAAUGUUGAGAAACCUGAAACUGCUGUUUCGAGGUGGGCAAGGGCAAGGACAAGGGCAGCCAAGGUGGGAAAAGGUUUAUCCAAGAAUGAUAAGGCUCAGAAAUUAGCCCUACAACACUGGCUUGAAGCUAUUGAU